CUCGGGAUGAACGCUGGCGGCGUGCUUAACACAUGCAAGUCGAACGAUGAAGCCCAGCUUGCUGGGUGGAUUAGUGGCGAACGGGUGAGUAACACGUGAGUAACCUGCCCUUAACUCUGGGAUAAGCCUGGGAAACUGCGUCUAAUACCGGAUAGGAGCGCCUACCGCAUGGUGGUUGUUGGAAAGAUUUAUCGGUUUUGGAUGGACUCGCGGCCAAUCAGCUUGUUGGUGAGUAAUGGCUCACCAAGGCGCAGACGGGUAGCGGCCUGAGAGGGUGACCGGCCACACUGGGACUGAGACACGGCCCAGACUGCUACGGGAGGCAGCAGUGGGGAAUAUUGCACAAUGGGCGCAAGCCUGAUGCAGCGACGCCGCGUGAGGGAUGACGGCUUCGGGUUGUAAACCUCUUUCAGUGGGGAAGAAGCGAAAGUGACGGUACCUGCAAAGAAGCACCGGCUAACUACGUGCCAGCAGCCGCGGUAAUACGUAGGGUGCGGCCGUUAUCCGGAAUUAUUGGGCGUAAAGAGCUCGUAGGCGGUUUGUCGCGUCUGUCGUGAAAGUCCGGGGCUUAACCCCGGAUCUGCGGUGGGUACGGGCAGACUAGAGUGCAGUAGGGGAGACUAGAAUUCCUGGUGUAGCGGUGGAAUGCGCAGAUAUCAGGAGCAACACCGAUGGCGAAGGCAGGUCUCUGGGCUGUAACUGACGCUGAGGAGCGAAAGCAUGGGGAGCGAACAGGAUUAGAUACCCUGGUAGUCCAUGCCGUAAACGUUGGGCACUAGGUGUGGGGACCAUUCCACGGUUUCCGCGCCGCAGCUAACGCAUUAAGUGCCCCGCCUGGGGAGUACGGCCGCAAGGCUAAAAGUCAAAGGAAUUGACGGGGGCCCGCACAAGCGGCCCAGCAUGCGGAUUAAUCGAUGGCAACGCACAGAACCUUACCAAGGCUUGACAUGUUCUCGAUCGCCGUAGAGAUACGGUUUCCCCUUUGGGGCGGGUUCACAGGUGGUGCAUGGUUGUCGUCAGCUCGUGUCGUGAGAUGUUGGGUUAAGUCCCGCAACGAGCGCAACCCUCGUUCCAUGUCCCCAGCACGUAAUGGUGGGGACUCAUGGGAGACUGCCGGGGUCAACUCGAGGGAAGGUGAGGACGACGUCAAAUCAUCAUGCGCCUUA
rnacentral:rRNA from 1 species